rnacentral:ncRNA from 2 species
UUAAGCUUCAGCGCCAUAGGCGGGCGGCUUCUGCUUUUCUUGUUUUCGACUUAAUAGGGAAGUUGGUGUCAUUCCAACGCGGUCCCGCCACUGUAAAUGGGAGCUGCUACAAAAUCCACUGUGCAUAUGUUGCAUGGGAAGGGGUAGCAAGUGAUGAUCAUAAGCCAGGCCAGGAGACCUGCCGGUGCUAUCGUUAAUCA